GGGGAAUUUUGGACAAUGGGCGCAAGCCUGAUCCAGCCAUGCCGCGUGUCUGAAGAAGGCCUUCGGGUUGUAAAGGACUUUUGUCAGGGAAGAAAAGGCUGUCGCUAAUACCGACAGUUGAUGACGGUACCUGAAGAAUAAGCACCGGCUAACUACGUGCCAGCAGCCGCGGUAAUACGUAGGGUGCGAGCGUUAAUCGGAAUUACUGGGCGUAAAGCGAGCGCAGACGGUUACUUAAGCAGGAUGUGAAAUCCCCGGGCUCAACCUGGGAACUGCGUUCUGAACUGGGUGACUAGAGUGUGUCAGAGGGAGGUAGAAUUCCACGUGUAGCAGUGAAAUGCGUAGAGAUGUGGAGGAAUACCGAUGGCGAAGGCAGCCUUCUGGGAUAACACUGACGUUCAUGCUCGAAAGCGUGGGUAGCAAACAGGAUUAGAUACCCUGGUAGUCCACGCCCUAAACGAUGUCAAUUAGCUGUUGGGCAACUUGAUUGCUUAGUAGCGUAGCUAACGCGUGAAAUUGACCGCCUGGGGAGUACGGUCGCAAGAUUA
rnacentral:rRNA from 1 species